rnacentral:rRNA from 1 species
UUGGAGGGCAAGUCUGGUGCCAGCAGCCGCGGUAAUUCCAGCUCCAAUAGCGUAUAUUAAAGUUGUUGCAGUUAAAAAGCUCGUAGUUGAAUUUCGGGAUCAGUAUGUUGGUCGUGCUUCGGUACGUACUGUCAUUACUGGUUUCUCCCUUCUGAAGAACCUUGAUGUCAUUAAUUUGGUGUCUUGGGGAAUCAGGACUGUUACUUUGAAAAAAUUAGAGUGUUUAAAGCAGGCAUACGCUUGAAUACAUUAGCAUGGAAUAAUGAAAUAGGACGUUUGAUUCUAUUUUGUUGGUUUCUAGGAUCGACGUAAUGAUUAAUAGGGAUAGUUGGGGGCAUUAGUAUUCAAUUGUCAGAGGUGAAAUUCUUGGAUUUAUUGAAGACUAACUACUGCGAAAGCAUUUGCUAAGGAUGUUUUCAUUAAUCAAGAACGAAAGUUAGGGGAUCGAAGACGAUCAGAUACCGUCGUAGUCUUAACCAUAAACUAUGCCGACUAGGGAUCGGAUGAUGUUAUUUUUAAUGACUCAUUCGGCGCCUUACGGGAAACCAAAGUGUUUGGGUUC